CUGCUUGAUUGCAGGAGGAAUGCCAGCUCCUGAGCAGGCCUCACUGGUGGAGGAGGGGCAACCACAGAUCCGCCAGGAAACUGCCUGCACUGGCCCAGGCAUGGAACCCGAGACCACAGCCACCACUAUUCUAGCUUCUGUGAAGGAGCAGGUGUUUACAUCCCUGAGUACAUUGGGAUGACUGGCAUGUAGAGCUGCUCCAGGUGCCAGUCAGAAUCGGAACAUGCAGGAUACUUGUGCGUCUGCAAGAGCUUCAGUUUCAGCGACUCACCCGAGAACUGGAGGUGGAAAGGCAGAUUGUUGCCAGUCAGCUAGAAAGAUGUAGGCUUGGAGCAGAGUCACCAAGCAUCGCCAGCACCAGCUCAACUGAAAAGUCAUUUCCUUGGAGAUCAGCAGGUAUGAGUUUUUAUCAUA